GGAUCAGAAGGAAAAUAAUGCAUUUAUUUGAUAUCGAUAUUUAUUGAUCGAAUGUUUGGUACUUUGGUAUCUCCAAUUCUAUUAAUUUUGAACAACCGAAGCUGUUUCAAGAUUCAAUUAUUUUUAGUGGGGAUUAUUUCUGGAAUAUAGUAAUUUUUAGUAUUUCCUGUUCUCAACUGGAAGGGGAAUCCCCUGAAUCCCAAAAAUGAAUAUUGAUUACAUUGUAUAGACUUUGAUGUGUAUUUAAAGUCAAGUUGAUUUGAAGUUAUUAUUUUUUAAAAAUGAUUAAGUCUAUGGAGGUGAAAAUUUGUUUUUCUAAUAAAUAAGAACAAUGACCAUUCAAAUUCCAUGAUUGUGAGAACCCCUAUUUCUCUUAGGAGGGAAGAACAAGUUACAUCACAAACGUAAACCCCAACGAUGAUUCCAUAACAAAACAUAUUUUCAUGAUCAUAAGGAUCGUGAAAAUAUAUGAACAUGGAGGGUAAAAUUCAAAUUGAACACACUCACCGUUAAAUAACCCACUAAAAUCCAGUGAUGCUUUAAAGGUACGUAAAGGAGUUGCAUACUCGGCACAAACAUAAUACACCUUUCUAGGAUUAUUUGGGUCUCUUAUUUUAUAAACAGAGUUUUUGUAUGAUCUCUUUUGAACACCAGCUAUUGUUAACUUCUUUUCAUCUAAACUCUGAAAUAAUAGUAUAAUUUUUUGAAGGUAUCAUAUAAAUAUAACUACUCCAUGUUAAAGAGAAUAAAAUAU